UUGGAGGGCAAGUCUGGUGCCAGCAGCCGCGGUAAUUCCAGCUCCAAUAGCGUAUAUUAAAGUUGUUGCAGUUAAAAAGCUCGUAGUUGAAUUUCGGGAUUGACGUGACGGUCGUGCCUUAAGGGGUAUGAACUGUCGCAGUUGAUUUCUCACCUUCUGGAGAAGCAUGAUGUCCUUAAUUGGGUGUCAUGUGGAACCAGGACCUUUACCUUGAAAAAAUUAGAGUGUUUAAAGCAGGCAUUUUGCUCGAAUACAUUAGCAUGGAAUAAUAGAAUAGGACGGCAUGGUUCUAUUUUGUUGGUUUCUAGGAUCACCGUAAUGAUUAAUAGGGAUAGUUGGGGGCAUUAGUAUUCAAUUGUCAGAGGUGAAAUUCUUGGAUUUAUUGAAGACUAACUACUGCGAAAGCAUUUGCCAAGGAUGUUUUCAUUAAUCAAGAACGAAAGUUAGGGGAUCGAAGACGAUCAGAUACCGUCGUAGUCUUAACCAUAAACUAUGCCGACUAGGAAUCAGACGAUGUUAAUUUUUUAAUGACUCGUUCGGCGCCUUACGGGAAAC
rnacentral:rRNA from 1 species